rnacentral:rRNA from 1 species
ACUCCUACGGGAGGCAGCAGUGGGGAAUUUUGCGCAAUGGGGGAAACCCUGACGCAGCAACGUCGCGUGAGUGAUGAAGGCCUUCGGGUCGUAAAGCUCUGUCAGAGGGAAAGAAAUGUAAUUGUGCUAAUAUCAUGAUUACUUGACGGUACCCUCAAAGGAAGCACCGGCUAACUCCGUGCCAGCAGCCGCGGUAAUACGGAGGGUGCAAGCGUUGUUCGGAAUUAUUGGGCGUAAAGCGCGUGUAGGCGGUUUGUUAAGUCUGAUGUGAAAGCCCCGGGCUCAACCUGGGAAGUGCAUUGGAAACUGGCAGACUUGAAUACGGGAGAGGGUAGUGGAAUUCCUAGUGUAGGAGUGAAAUCCGUAGAUAUUAGGAGGAACACCGGUGGCGAAGGCGGCUGCCUGGACCGAUAUUGACGCUGAGACGCGAAAGCGUGGGGAGCAAACAGGAUUAGAUACCCUGGUAGUCCACGCCGUAAACGAUGAGAACUAGGUGUCGCGGGUA